rnacentral:rRNA from 1 species
AACGAACGCUGGCGGCAGGCCUAACACAUGCAAGUCGAGCGAGACCUUCGGGUCUAGCGGCGGACGGGUGAGUAACGCGUGGGAACGUGCCCUUUGCUACGGAAUAGCCCCGGGAAACUGGGAGUAAUACCGUAUGUGCCCUUCGGGGGAAAGAUUUAUCGGCAAAGGAUCGGCCCGCGUUGGAUUAGGUAGUUGGUGGGUAAUGGCCUACCAAGCCGACGAUCCAUAGCCGGUUUGAGAGGAUGAUCAGCCACACUGGGACUGAGACACGGCCCAGACUCCUACGGGAGGCAGCAGUGGGGAAUCUUAGACAAUGGGGGAAACCCUGAUCUAGCCAUGCCGCGUGAGCGAUGAAGGCCUUAGGGUUGUAAAGAUCUUUCAGUGGGGAAGAUAAUGACUGUACCCACAGAAGAAGCCCCGGCUAACUCCGUGCCAGCCGCCGCGGUAACAC